CCGGCGCACACCGCCUUACAACCUUAGUGAAUAUACGUAUUUUGCAACCGUCUCUCAACCAUCGCAAGUCAUAAGUUCACGAUCGUAUUCGCUUCUAUAGUGGAAUACAAUGGAAGUGUGACAUUACCCUUAUUCGGUCGGGACCCGUAAAGAUAAGGAGGCCAUAAAACGUUUUAGCCAAUGUUGCAUAAUGUUCUUAGACCAUUCAAUCAAUGUGCCUCUACUACGGAUUUGUAACGGGCACAGAAUGUGACCAGAGAGUUAGUGAGUGACGUGAUGCAACUAGUAAUGCUGAACUUCUUAAUCAUGUUCGAUGUGGUGUUCAUAUUCUUUCUGUUUCUGAUUGCGGUGACGUGCGUCAUGAAUUACAUGCCAGGGAGGAAGCGGCAGGAGGUUAUAGAGGAGGAUGUAGACGAUGACGUCAUCCCUCCUCCCCCACUGUUUGCAGGUGACGAUGACGACCUACCACUGACCAGUCGAGAUACAUAUGUUGUUAUUCCACCGCCUCUGGACAACGUUAGAGCUAAGGACGGCUGUCCUAUACACGUGGUGUAGUAUAAGCACUGAUAUAUUAUAUCAACGUAGGAGUUUAUUACGAAGAAGCCUUAUGAGAAAGUAGGUGUCGAAAGUAAAAAUGUAGUCGUUUUUUACCAAGUAGUCAAAUAAAUUUUCUUGUUACGCAAAGACUUGCCUACUGGUGUAAUUUCGGGACUCAAGUGAAGGUACAUAUGGAUUAAGGUUGUACCGACUUGUACCACGGUUAUAGGCGCCACGAAAAUAUCAUGUUAUCUAUAUAUUUGGAAAAUUAUGUCAAAAUAAAUAUAACUUUGAUAAAUGGUUAUAGUAUAGAUAGAUCAAAUAAUUAAAGGAGAAAACAACCUGAUAGUUAAGUUUAUGGUGUUGAUUUGGCAAACGUAGGAGCCUAAUUAUAUUUUCCUUCUGUUUACGUUUAGCGCUGAACAAAUAUACUUGUCAUUUACGUAAUUCUCUGUUACGUAACCAAAUACUAUGUUUAUAUAAAGUGUUCAAAUUUCGCAGAACAAUUGCAAGUGCUUGUUUAAGAUGAAUGUGACUGAAUAAUAGAUAUAAUAGAUAAAUUUUAGAGUAUAAUUAGUUGUACGUUUGCUUGCUACAUUGUAUUAAGUUUUGGUGCUUGUAAGCACAAAUAGAUAUAAGCGAAUAUCUAAAUAAAUUUGUUGACGUAUCCCACUCACUAUACUAUAGACAAAUAGACGUAUUCGGAACAUUGCUUUGUUUACUAAUUUCUUAUUAAGAAAAUUAGGUCUUUAGUACAUUUGCUGUUUAGAAAUACCAAAAUCAUUGCUCUAAUUUAUUAUUAUGUAUGCACCGGCACAACUUUAGCUCAGCAAACAACUUCGCAUUUAAAUUUCGACAUUCAAUUGUAUAGUACAUAAAAUAGAUUAUACAAUAACAGGAUAAAUUAUAACCAACGGCUUGCGGCAAUCGCGGUUGCCAUUACCAUACUAUAGUAAAAUAUAUUAUAUUGCGCCCAACUUAAAGUCGAAAUUUAAAUGAUAAAUUGCUUGCGGUGUAGUUGUAAUGAGUAACGACCUUUCAUUUGAGACUGAACUGUGACAACACGGGUGACUUUUGUGUCGACAACAAUUCCUAUUUAUCCAUUUUUUCUAUU